rnacentral:rRNA from 1 species
ACUCCUACGGGAGGCAGCAGUGGGGAAUAUUGCACAAUGGGCGCAAGCCUGAUGCAGCCAUGCCGCGUGUGUGAAGAAGGCCUUCGGGUUGUAAAGCACUUUCAGUUGUGAGGAAGGUGGUGUCGUUAAUAGCGGCAUCAUUUGACGUUAGCAACAGAAGAAGCACCGGCUAACUCCGUGCCAGCAGCCGCGGUAAUACGGAGGGUGCGAGCGUUAAUCGGAAUUACUGGGCGUAAAGCGCAUGCAGGUGGUUUGUUAAGUCAGAUGUGAAAGCCCGGGGCUCAACCUCGGAACUGCAUUUGAAACUGGCAGACUAGAGUACUGUAGAGGGGGGUAGAAUUUCAGGUGUAGCGGUGAAAUGCGUAGAGAUCUGAAGGAAUACCGGUGGCGAAGGCGGCCCCCUGGACAGAUACUGACACUCAGAUGCGAAAGCGUGGGGAGCAAACAGGAUUAGAUACCCUGUAGCACAGAG